CUGAGAGCAAAUUUAAAUUACUGAGCCUUUUUUUCCCCCUUUUUUAUUUUUCUACUCUGCGACAAACUGAAAAGAUUCCAGCACGCUAAUUUAACCACCCUGCUUUUUCUUUUUUGCUUUUUUUUUUCCCUCCCCCUGCUUCCAGGAUAAUUAAAAGAGAAACCUGUAAAGGCAGCGUUCCUGUGAGCGAGUUGGUGCAGCAACGUGCUGGUCUACAGAGCUAGAAGAAAGAGUGAUCCAGACAAGCAAGGCUGAUUGCAGAGUGAGGCUCACCGCUCAGACCCGCCAUGCCAAGGGGACAGGAGC